GAGAGAAAUUAUGUCUUGCUUCCUAAAAAUCCUGCUUUUACCGGCUGUAGGCUCUCUCUGUAGUCGUUCGUCAACGAUAGAACAGCGAAGUAGAUGUAUAAUUAAAGAUAGUAAGGAAAAUGGGAAAAGCCACAUCGAAUCCUCGUCCAGAAGCAGAAGCAAAGUCGAAAUCCUCAGUGACAGUAGUGAAGGACGUUUGUGCUGAACAUGUUUCUAUGCUCAUUGCCUUCCUUCAAAGGAUGGGAAUCAACUCAGAUCCUGUCCCAGAUAUUUGCAAAACCAAAGACUUCUACUCUCAUCUUAUUCACCGAAUCACCACAUAAUCAAGCCCGACCAAGUCCUACGUGGCCGAAUCAUCUGUCUCGUAACUGUCAACCCCGCUCUCACUGAUAUCUAUGGUAACUUUCAUGGAGGGGCUAUUGCAGCUGUUGCAGAGAAGGUGUCGUAUGCUUGUGCUAGAACCGUGGUGGCCAAGGAUAAGGAUAUUUUUCUUGGGGAACUGAGUAUUUCAUAUCUCUCUAGUGCUCCAGUAAAUACAGAGGUGAUAGUUGAUUGCUCUGUAGUGAGGACUGGAAGAAAUUUGACUGUAGUAGCAAUGGAGUUCAAGGUCAAGAAAACUGGGAAGUUAGCCUAUACUGCUCGCUCUACAUUCUUUAACAUGCCUGUUGCCAAGUUAUGAAGUUGUGGUUCAACAAAUUUGAAUUUGGGUAUCUCAGUUUGAAUCUUUACCCUCUGAUGAGUUUGUAAAAACCCAAUAAAAUUUUACAUUGGUUCAACAUAUUGAAAAAUAGAUACUUUUACUAUCUAAUUAAAUAUGCUCAUUGCUGAAA